GGGUCAGGACAAAAGUAUGCUAGGAGGCGGCAGUGGGGUAUGUGAGGCCCAUUUCCUUCUGGGGGCAAAUUCAGCAGGAUGCCCAGGAAUGGUUCAGCGCAGAGACCCAGGGCCAGGUCCUGCCUCUGCUCCUGCCUCAGCCACUGGCUCCCCGUGUGACCUGAUGGUCUUACUCUGUUGCCCAGGCUGGAAUGCAGUGGUGCCAUCUCAGGUGCCUGCAGCCCAAACUCAAGCUAUCCCUGUAGCCUCAGCCCCACGAGCAGCUGGGACAACAGAGGUCAAGAGAGGUCAGGGAGAUGUGGCCAUGGAGGGAAGAGCAGAGCCCACAGUGGGAAAGAAGAUUGUCUAGAGUGAGAGCCCCCAUCCAAGUGAACAAAGUAUUUCAAAGAGGAGGAAAGUGACCAACUAUGACAAGAGCCACUGAGAGGUCAAGGCGAGCCCAAAUGAGAACAACUGAACCACCUGGACCCACUCUCCAAGGACUCAUUGUGGGAGGCUUAUUACAGGCUUCGGCUGUGGGAAUGUGGCUGAGGCUGGCCUUUACCACAUCACACGGUGGGCCCCAUCUGAAACUGUUCCUUUGGAGCUAACGUCUAGGAAAAAAUUUCUUUCCACUGAAGAAGUUUUC